GAGCGGAUGAAAGGAGCUUGCUCCUGGAUUCAGCGGCGGACGGGUGAGUAAUGCCUAGGAAUCUGCCUGGUAGUGGGGGACAACGUUUCGAAAGGAACGCUAAUACCGCAUACGUCCUACGGGAGAAAGCAGGGGACCUUCGGGCCUUGCGCUAUCAGAUGAGCCUAGGUCGGAUUAGCUAGUUGGUGAGGUAAUGGCUCACCAAGGCGACGAUCCGUAACUGGUCUGAGAGGAUGAUCAGUCACACUGGAACUGAGACACGGUCCAGACUCCUACGGGAGGCAGCAGUGGGGAAUAUUGGACAAUGGGCGAAAGCCUGAUCCAGCCAUGCCGCGUGUGUGAAGAAGGUCUUCGGAUUGUAAAGCACUUUAAGUUGGGAGGAAGGGUUGUAGAUUAAUACUCUGCAAUUUUGACGUUACCGACAGAAUAAGCACCGGCUAACUCUGUG
rnacentral:rRNA from 1 species